UAAAAAACAGUUUUUCUUUUUCAAACAUUUUUUAAAAUCAGUUUUUUUAUUUUUUUUUAUUUUUUAUUUUUUAUUUAAAUCAUAAGCCAAACAAGCACUUUAAAAACGUAUCAUUCCCAUCAUUCUCACAAGACCCAAACCCCAAACAUGCCCUAACUCCCGUUCUCACAAGACCCAAACCCUGACGAUCUCUCUACUCUAACUCCUCCGCUCCCCGGAGGCCAAAACACUACCUUCCUUUCUUCGCCGGUGAUCUAAGAAACCCUUUGAAUUCGACAGGAUUUGUUUGUGGUCGCGCGUUCUUCAGUUAUUCUGCCCUCAACAAACCCAAACACCCCUGACCCAUAGCGAUCUAUGUAACUCCACUGCCGGAGACCUAAACAGUAAACACCCCCAACCUGCGCAGGUUAAAAAAGAAUUUGAACAAAAAGGCAAAAACAUGAGACUGAGUGCAUGGUUUGGUUAACAUUAUGGAAGUAGUGAACAAUGUUGAAAAAGCCAUAGCACAUAUACAGUUAUCCACAUCAAUGGAAGUGGAACAUUGAGUCUGAUGAUCAGGAAAAUUUUAUGAAGAAGAAAGCUGUGAAGGUUGCAUCAACUUUUAAAUCAUACUUUGUUAUAAAUUUUAUGAUCCAAGGAUUGAAUGACUGUCUUAAAUAUGGUUUUAUAAAACUGAUGUAUAUAAUAGGUUCGUUGCACAAAAAACUACCCCUGAGUUUUUGGUAUGUUUUAAUUGUUUAUUUAUUGUUAUUGUUAUUGUUGUUAUUAUUAUUUUGUUGGUAUGUAUGAAGGCAAAAAGUGCAAAAGCUAAAGAAAGCAAUGACAAAAGAAUAUUCAUUGUGUGCUUAGCACGAAGUGGAUGGUAGGGUCUUGAACAAAAAAGACAGUAUAUGGCCUCAACUUGUAUCAAAAUACGAGUUUCUGGAUCGUAUACAAAAUGAACGGUUUAGGCUGUAUUUAAUGGUUUUGCAAUAAAAAACAAAAAAACCAAUAUGUAUGAUUUUUCUACAAGGGUCAAUUGAAGAUUUUCAUUUUAUGGUAAACAAUUAUGUUUUUCACUUGAUGAAGAUUUUGUUUUUUUACUAAAUAUAUCUUGCCAAGUAUUUUUUUUUCAUAGGAACAAAAAGAGAAAAGAAUGAUAGCCGAUGUGAGUAAUUUUCAAAAUAAAAAAGACCCAUUAGUUAGACUUUUGGGACACGAUCACGGGGGCGAUCACAAAGAAUAUCCAAUAUCAUUGGCCCUACUCAAGUUUACUAUGGAUUGUUUAAGAAUGUGGAAAAUAGUUGAAACACGAAACCACAUGUUGACAUGAUCCCAACAUUCCAUGAAUCUAGUUGUUCGUCUGGUGGAUGGUUGACAGAUGAUCCACCUAUUGAAGUAAUAUAUUUAUAGUUUCCACAUAAAAAGGAUAUUUAAUUAUAUAUAUAUAUAUAUAUAUAUAUAUCAUGUUUUUAUAUUAUAUUUAAAAAAAAUAUUGUAUGAUUUGCAGGUUAGGAUAGAAUGUGAUUUGCUUGUGAAUGUGGCUGAUACCCAAUUGAAAAUAGUUUAUGAUAUUGCAUGGUCAACAUCUGAAAUGGUAAUACAUUCAAAACCUAUAAAUAAAGGUUGUGUGAAAGUUAAGGUUAAUGAAAUCAUCGAAAUAUAUGAGAACUUGCCUGUGCAUGCCGUCACAUGAACGGGAUAAGUCGAAUAUGUUAAACAUUCGGUUGGGAUAUGCUAUAAAGGUAUAUUUGUAUUUAAGUAUAACUAUAUAUUUUAGUGUACUUUUAUUUAUAUAUUACAAAAUAUUUUAGCUUGUGAACAAGACACUUAACAAGUCAAAUAGUGGCACGAGAAUGGGGUCGAAUCGUGGUUCGCCACAGAUACACGCUGAUGACAUCACGACGACUUCAGUUUAUCGUCCACAGUCUGAGGAAAACCACAAUCUUUAUCAUCAUGAAAUUAAUGAACAUAUUCAGGGUGGUUUACUUGAUAUGUUGAUUUAAAUGCACCCCGAGCUGGAGCCGAAUUUGAACCCGAACAAAAAUCCCAAUCCGAAACCGAACCCGAACCUGAAUUCUAUACACUUGAAGAUCCUGAGUUGUUAAAGGGAUGCAUCGCCGCAAGGUUCAAGAUACCUAUCAUGGUUUUACAACUAUUUUUAAGAGAUUGACUUUGAUUAUAGCCUUAUGCAUUUGAAAGGUUUUAAAACUAUUUUUAUGAUUGGCUUGAUAUAUAACCCAAUUCUGAUUGUGGUUUUUUUAUCCGCUUUGCAUUAUAAACUUAGAUACUAAAAACAAUCUGUCGCCCGUUGUUGAACAUAUCAAAUAAAUAUUUUCGUAUCAUAAAGGCAAACAAUAUUUUCUUGUUC